GAUCCUGGCUCAGGACGAACGCUGGCGGCGUGCCUAACACAUGCAAGUCGAACGGAACUGUUUUGAAAGAUUUCUUCGGAAUGAAUUUGAUUUAGUUUAGUGGUCGGACGGGUGAGUAACGCGUGAGUAACCUGCCUUCAAGAGGGGAUAACAUUCUGAAAAGAAUGCUAAUACCGCAUGAUAUAUCGGAACCACAUGGUUUUGAUAUCAAAGAUUUUAUCGCUUGAAGAUGGACUCGCGCCCGAUUAG
rnacentral:rRNA from 1 species